rnacentral:rRNA from 1 species
CGUAGGGGGCUAGCGUUGUCCGGAUUUAUUGGGCGUAAAGAGCGUGUAGGCGGCCAGGUAGGUCUGGUGUGAAAACUCGAGGCUUAACCUCGAGAUGUCAUCGGAAACCAUCUGGCUAGAGUCCGGAAGAGGAAAGUGGAAUUCCUGGUGUAGCGGUGAAAUGCGCAGAUAUCAGGAAGAACACCAAUGGCGAAAGCAGCUUUCUGGGACGGUACUGACGCUGAGACGCGAAAGCGUGGGGAGCGAACAGGAUUAGAUACCCUGGUAGUCCACGCCGUAAACGAUGGGCGCUAGGUGUGGGCGGUGUCGACUCCGUCCGUGCCGAAGCUAACGCAUUAAGCGCCCCGCCUGGGGAGUACGGCCGCAAGGCUA